GGUUCGGAGGUUUAGGGGUAUGAUUCUCGCUUAGAAGGCGAGGGAGCCCGGGUUCAAAUCCCUGCCGAACUC